GGGAAGUUACCAUAGUUCAUGUGUUACCAUGGUUUCAGUCACCAUUUUCGUUUUGAGUCAUGUAGCUAGCUAAUGGAGCCCAUUAUCAUGUUGUUGUAGAAGAUCUGUCAUGAUCAUAUUGUAGAAGAUCUGUGUCGCAAUGACAGAAAGACAAACACAAAUCUUAGAUCAUUUAUUUUAAGAUAACUUUUGGGUACACGUUGUAACAUUUGUAUCUGGCUAAAUCUUUCGGGGGGGGGAGGGGGAAAUACAAGUCAAUAGGCUCCCUAUGAAGCUACGAGGACAGAGAGUGUAGAAGAGAAAACGAACUCGUAAUUGUUACAGGUAGAGAGGUAUGAAUUGAUAUACUGUAGCUGAAAAUGAUUAACGGAGAGAAAGAGGGAUAUCUGAUCAUGUCCAAAUAUUAACGACGUCUGGAAUCCAACAGUUUCACUUGAAUGAUCAAAACGGCAAGAGUCUGACAAACGGCAACCCUCAACAUGUCAACAGCUCGUAGACACGGUUUAGCUGAGGCGCAUCUCUCGACGCCAGGAGCUGUAUCUGGCCAAAUAAACCAGGACUUCUAUAUCUCUCAUCUGAUUCGUCAACUUGAAGACUUGGACAUGUCAAGUGGCGUCAGAGCACAGAAGAUAUUUCCAUCAACACUCAAUUCAAGUAUCUACCUGACCACCUGCCGUAGCCCAUCAGAGUCUGUGUAAGUAGAUAAAUAUUUUAAAAUGUCUGCUUACUACCCUAACGUGGUGACAGCUGGGCUAUUCACAGGCUGAAUGAGAUCUUCAGUGUGGGAAUAUUACCCUCUGUAUACCAGUCACCUGUAUAGAGGACAAUGGGAUAUUAAACAAUGGGCCAGCCAUUACCUUGACGGAGGGAAAAUCAAUCAGAAAUGUAUGCCAGCCCGUCUGACAGCAUUUGGUGUCAUGUUUGUUCUGCCGUCGCCAAAAUACCAAACUUUAAAUUGACUAGCUUUUCAUUGGAAUCCAUUAAAAAAAAAAUACAAAAAAAUGUGUAUCCAAACUCAAAUAUUAGGUUACAGUGGG
rnacentral:lncRNA from 1 species